rnacentral:tRNA from 3 species
GCGGUAAUAGCUCAGUUGGCAGAGCGUUGGCUUCCCAAGCCGAAGGUCGCGGGUUCGAGCCCCGUUUACCGCUCCA